ensembl:lncRNA
AGAAAAUAAGUGUUGGAUUUCUUUUUCUAUAAGAAAAGAAAACGAACAGCUGGUUUGGGGGAUGUGCUGUUCCUUAAACUCCCAGAGUUCACGUGCUCCCCAGAGCUGGUCUGGAACCCCCCCACUUCUCUCCCGCUUCUCCAGGUGAAUCCACCUGCAGUUCCCAGGGGAGCCUGCUGCCUGUUUGAGUAAAUAAUCUCCUGCUCACUCAGGCAGGAGCUGGAGGCCCAGGUGGGUCACACAUCCCUGGCACUGCUCCCCCGGCACCUCGCCGAGCCUCGCUGGGUUUGUGAAUCUCACUGAACGCUUGCACUGGGUUCAAAACCAUUUAUUCACCGAGUUGUUUCUCCUCCAGAGCCAGUCCUGACAAAACCAAGAGGGUUAUUUGUGUGCAGAGCAAAGCAGCGAGGUCCAGCAGCUUUAAAUCUAUGAGCACACACACAAGGUAUCAAACACCAACACAUGCAGGAAUAGUGAAUAGUGCUUUUAAAAAAACAACAAGCUGCCUAUUGUUUGCAGGGCUGAGUACACCAAACCUCUAUGAUUUCACUCUAGAACAGGUGUGUUCUGCUCAGUACAUUGAGUUCAGCAAGGUUGAGUGUCUGUGUGUUGUAGCAUUUCACCCACACGGGAGAGGUGGAAGAGACUCUUCACUGUAUUUAAAAAAAAAAAAAUAAAAUAAAGUGCUCGAAAAAAUGCAAAGGAGGUGUUAGAUAAAUAGAACAGAAGUAAUGACUGUGCCUAAUAAUAGGCAGGUAAAUAAUCCAUCCUGAAGCUGAUAUCAAAUGCUGAUUUGCCUGGAGCUAAGCCAGUGCCCAGGCACUGCUGCCGUGCACACAUGGCCUAGGCAGGACAGGAAGGGCAGAACCCUGAAGAAGAACUUUCAUGCUGAACCCUGGGUACAUAAUUCCCACCCCUGGAAGUAGUAGUUUUGUUUCUAACAAAGAUUCAGGUCCUUGCUGGGCUGAGUUUCUCAGCGUGAAAAGUCAGGAUUCAGCAGAAACUUCAACCUGAAAGCAGCAGCCUCUGUGCCCAAGCAGGGCAAUGCUUCUCCCUCCUAAAAUCCUCCGGUUAAUUGUAACAAUCCCAGACACAACUUUUAAAGUACAUGCACCAAACCUACAAUCCAACCUGAACUAGAAGUUAAACCCUUCCAAGCUACUGCAUGCGUUAAAACUUGAAUGCAAAGCAAACUCCAGUGGCCUCUGUCCUUGUGCAGCCCAUCUCAGGAGUGGCUCUGUGCUGUGCAGGAGCUUCAGCACGUGUGUGUAUUUACAGGGGGCUCUUGCUGUUGCUUUCCUGGGCCUGUCCCUCCCUUUUGGGUGGUUCAUGGGGGAUCUGUUCCCGAAAGGAGUCAGCUCCCCUGACUCCAAAGCUCCUGUUAUUUCCAUGAUCCCACACCGUGGGAUCAGAGAAGGGCCUUGGCUUUGCAUGAAACUCCAGCACACCUUCCCCUACCAGGUGUUUUGAAGGCUCGGAUUAAAUUCUCAACACAUUCUCUCCCUGUUCCCACAACAAACCCACUCCAUUCCCUGGCUGGAAGAGACCACUUCAGGGCAGGAAUUAAAGACAGGGCAAACAGAACAAGUAAUGGCCAGAUGGUUUUGGAGAUCAACUUCUUAAAGCCACAGCCUUGAUGGGAACAGAUCUGUGCUCGCCUCUGUCCCACCAGCAUUCCCAGAGCUCUGGAAAUGCACCAGGACUGGCCAGGAAGGGUGGCUGGGGACGUGCCCAGGUGCCAGCGGGUGUUUCUCAGGGCACACGAGCCUCUUAGAAGCAACACACGGUCCAGCACGGCCCCUGCCAAGAUGCUGGGCAGCAGCAGGCUCGAGGGCUCCCCAGCCAGACUGGGUUUGCUGCACACACUGGCUGACAUGCAGAAUGGGAGUCUAUAAACAGCAAAAUCAAACAGAAACAAUCCAACUUCAGCCUUCCUGCGGGGCUGUGAGAGGGUGGUGCACACCCGCCUCCCCCAGCUCCGCUUCCUCUCCACGUGUGGAUUCCUACGGGGAAUUACAUAAUAGCACAAAACUUGGACUGCCCCGUGUCCCUGGAGACAUCCAGCUUGUUUUUGUCCCGCACCAGGAUGGCCUCGUUGCCGUACUGCGAGUACCACAUGCUCCUGCUGCGGCUCAGGUAGGUGUUGGGGGGAGCCGACUCCAGUUUCUGCUGCUGCUGCUGCCAGAUGAGCAGGGAGGUGUCCCGGUACCUGAGGCGGGCGUAGCCCUCGGACAAAGCUUUCUCCGGCAGGGGCACCCUCCCGUUCAUCACCGGCUCGCUCAUCUGCCCCAGGACAGCCCCACCAGCGGGAGCUCCUUCCCAGCAGCUCCGCAAUAAUCCCCGCGGGCUCUGUCCAGGUCGGUGGCUGCUGCUUGGAGCUCAAGGGAGAACAUCCCAGGGGAUCCAGGAGCGGCUGGCACGGCUCAGGAGAGGGAGCAGGGCGCUAAAAUCGCUGCAGGCAGCCCGGCCUUGCUUGGAAACCACGCCAGGACUUCUCCGAGAGCUCAUCCAGCGGUGCUCCACGCCGGGAGGGGCCCGCGCGUGCUGUUUGCUGACGGUCCAUGAAGCAUCUCCAUAGGUAGGACGGGCCGAGCGGGCCUGGAUGGGCUGAAUUCCCUGGAGAAGGGAUCCCGAAGGCGUCGGAGGUCGGAGCGCAGAGGUCAGCGGUGGCCGGGCCUGAGCACGGCCUGUCCCCGAGGAUGGACGGGCGCCUGACGUGCUCAGGGAUGCAGGAGAAGAUGCUGCUCGGCCCCGCCUGUGGUACCCGAGCUGGGCUGGGUGUUUUGGGGGGCCCGGCACCUCCGGAC